AGUGUAAUGGCUAACACGUCUGCCUUCGGAGUAGAAGAUUGCAGGUUCGAGUCCUGU
rnacentral:tRNA from 1 species